rnacentral:ncRNA from 1 species
AUGAUUGUGCUCAAGGUCUUUCUCCUAGGAUCUUUACCCUUUCCUAAAUAAUGGUUUUGGGCACAAAAAA